CCCGAGUUCAUUCUAUUCCUCUCUGUUCUCGUACUCUCGCAUUCUACUCGUAACACGUUAUCAGCACAUCGCUCUCCCCUGCCCCAGAGGGGAAUAGCUCGGUUGGAUAGAACAUCGUCGAGGGAUCGACCUUCGCCUAGGGCAUCACCCCAAGGUAGAAUCAUGCCUUUCCCUCGCCGUAAUCCUGCCUCAAUGGCUUCCCUCAUCCUCCAAAUCGUCUGGAUGGCGAUGAACCGUGCCCGGACAUUGGGCACACACUUCGGCAACAACCGCCUUCAGGCGGAACU
rnacentral:lncRNA from 1 species